CUACGGGCGGCUGCAGUCGAGAAUCUUCCGCAAUGGGCGAAAGCCUGACGGAGCAAUGCCGCGUGUAGGAUGAAGGCCUUUGGGUUGUAAACUACUGUCACCGGGGAUGAAUAUUGACAGUACCCGGAGAGGAAGCCACGGCGUAACUACGUGCCAGCAGCCGCGGUAAUACGUAGGUGGCGAGCGUUGUUCGGAUUUAUUGGGCGUAAAGGGUUCGUAGGGGGUUAUUUAAGUCUGAUGUGAAAUCCCGCGGCUUAACCGCGGAACUGCAUUGGAAACUGAGUAACUAGAGGAUCGGAGAGGAGAGUGGAAUUCCGGGAGUAGCGGUGGAAUGCGUAGAUAUCCGGAAGAACACCGACAGCGAAGGCAGCUCUCUGGACGAUUCCUGACCCUGAGGGACGAAAGCGUGGGUAGCAAACAGGAUUAGAUACCCGGGUAGUC
rnacentral:rRNA from 1 species